AAAACGACUCUCGGCAACGGAUAUCUAGGCUCUCGCAUCGAUGAAGAACGUAGCAAAAUGCGAUACUUGGUGUGAAUUGCAGAAUCCCGCGAAUCAUCGAGUUUUUGAACGCAAGUUGCGCCCGAAGCCAUUCGGCCAAGGGCACGUCUGCCUGGGUGUCACGC
rnacentral:rRNA from 1 species